CAACAGAACACUGGCCAGGUUAGAGUGGGCCGCAGUAAAAUACAUUUUACAACAGAACACUGGCCAGGUUAGAGUGGGCCGCAGUAAAAUACAUAUUACAACAGAACACUGGCCAGGUUAGAGUGGGCCGCAGUAAAAUACAUUUUACAACAGAACACUGGCCAGGUUAGAGUGGGCCGCAGUAAAAUACAUAUUACAACAGAACACUGGCCAGGUUAGAGUGGGCCGCAGUAAAAUACAUUUUACAACAGAACACUGGCCAGGUUAGAGUGGGCCGCAGUAAAAUACAUUUUACAACAGAACACUGGCCAGGUUAGAGUGGGCCGCAGUAAAAUACAUUUUACAACAGAACACUGGCCAGGUUAGAGUGGGCCGCAGUAAAAUACAUUUUACAACAGAACACUGGCCAGGUUAGAGUGGGCCGCAGUAAAAUACAUUUUACAACAGAACACUGGCCAGGUUAGAGUGGGCCGCAGUAAAAUACAUUUUACAACAGAACACUGGCCAGGUUAGAGUGGGCCGCAGUAAAAUACAUUUUACAACAGAACACUGGCCAGGUUAGAGUGGGCCGCAGUAAAAUACAUUUUACAACAGAACACUGGCCAGGUUAGAGUGGGCCGCAGUAAAAUACAUUUUACAACAGAACACUGGCCAGGUUAGAGUGGGCCGCAGUAAAAUACAUUUUACAACAGAACACUGGCCAGGUUAGAGUGGGCCGCAGUAAAAUACAUUUUACAACAGAACACUGGCCAGGUUAGAGUGGGCCGCAGUAAAAUACAUUUUACAACAGAACACUGGCCAGGUUAGAGUGGGCCGCAGCCAACAACCACACAGGUUAUAGGGUUGUCCAAUCAAAAAGUGCAUAAUUUGACCACUAGAGGAUUAUCUAAGAUAUUAACAUAUUCAAAUCCUUGUUCCAAACAUCAGGUCUCUACCAUGAUCCAUUCAAAAGUUAUUGGAGUGUUGACAACUUGUAGGCCGGCCAGAAUCACAGUGUCGACAACUUGUAGGCCGGCCAGAAUCACAGUGUCGACAACUUGUAGGCCGGCCAGAAUCACAGUGUCGACAACUUGUAGGCCGGCCAGAAUCAGUGUCGACAACUUGUAGGCCGGCCAGAAUCAGUGUCGACAACUUGUAGGCCGGCCAGAAUCAGUGUCGACAACUUGUAGGCCGGCCAGAAUCAGUGUCGACAACUUGUAGGCCGGCCAGAAUCAGUGUCGACAACUUGUAGGCCGGCCAG